rnacentral:lncRNA from 1 species
CGCCCUAGGCUGGAGAAAGAGGAAACACGUUGGUCUGCGCACUCAGAGCCGAGUCAAAUGUGCAGGAAGAUUCCCCCAAACUGAAAGAAGGUCAACAGCAAAUUUGAGGCAGUGGAUAUGAGGAUAGAGGAGACACUCCUGAAGACUUCACUUUCUCCAUUUCUGUACUUGAAUUUUUACACCAAGCAUACAGCUUGAAAAAAUUAAAUGAGUAUGCAGUAUUUUAAAAAUCAACAAAAGCUUCACAUUUUAAUUUUCACUUGAAAAAAAAACAUGAGUGGUACUCAGCAGAACAACAACUAUAUCGUAUAAGCUGCAUCAGAGACAAAUGAAGAUGAAAAAACUAUCCUCCUAUAUAACUAAUCUGUGCUGUGCCCCAACAAAGCCUGCUUUAAAUUUCCGUGCCAAUUACAACCCCCAUUCUGUAUCAGGCAAGGGAAAGUGCAGCAGGAGGAACAAAAGUCUAAGAAGAAAUAAUGCAAAUAGCACUGAAUGGGGUAAGAGCAACAGAACACUUCUGGUGAUAAUCUCCUUUCACCACUGCAACUGGAAGUGAAAAAUUAGAAGAGACACUUUACUGACACAGCUAGUCUAAUGCCUUUGCUAAUAGUAGCAAAGCAUUGUUGAUUAGAGGGGAAAUAUGCGGUCCCACGACUUUAAUCUGAAAAGGCUAGGUAGAAUAACCUGUCCAUUCCUAACAUGUUUUAAUACAGAGAUGGCAAAAUAUUGGUAAAUAUGACAGGCUUUGGAGCCAAAGAGACAGGUUGGGGACCUUGGGCAAGUUACUUAGCUCUCUGUGCCUCAGUUUCCUUAUCUCCAAAAUGAGAAUAACAAUGCUCUCCAUGUCUUAAGGUUACCAUAAACAUAGUAUGCAUUAAGUGCUUAGGAUGGUACCUGGAAGAUAUAAGUGAUCUCUAAGUGUUCACUAUUAUUAUCUGUAUUUUUAGUUAUUUGAAGAAAAUGUCCUUGAUCAGACACAGUAUACAAAGUUCCCAUUUAGUGUCUGAAUGAUGGAAGAACUCGCAAAAAGUUAUACAGUGUUGG